rnacentral:rRNA from 1 species
AUUGAACGCUGGCGGCGUGCCUAACACAUGCAAGUCGAGCGGUAACAGGUGUAGCAAUACAUGCUGACGAGCGGCGGACGGGUGAGUAACGCUUGGGAAUCUGCCUGUUAGUGGGGGACAACCCGGGGAAACUCGGGCUAAUACCGCAUACGCACUACGGUGGAAAGCCGGGGACCGCAAGGCCUGGCGCUAACAGAUGAGCCCAAGUCGGAUUAGCUAGUUGGUAGGGUAACGGCCUACCAAGGCGACGAUCCGUAACUGGUCUGAGAGGACGACCAGUCACACCGGAACUGAGACACGGUCCGGACUCCUACGGGAGGCAGCAGUGGGGAAUAUUGGACAAUGGGGGAAACCCUGAUCCAGCGACGCCGCGUGUGUGAAGAAGGCCUGCGGGUUGUAAAGCACUUUUAGUGGGGAUGAAAUGUGCAGGGUUAACACCUCUGCAUUUUGACCUAACCCACAGAAAAGCACCGGCUAACUCUGUGCCAGCAGCCGC